UUCUGAGCAAAACCUCACAGAUGUAGUACCUGAUUAAUUUAGAGCAGAAACCACACUAUAAACGUAGUUAACUAGUCUAGGUCAAUUUUAUUAUUAAGUUGAUGUUGACUUUAGUUGUUUCCUUAACAAGUUUAUUUUUUCUUGUCGGUCUCGAUUUGUAAAUAAUGAGCAUGUAGAUACAAUUUGUGGCAAAAUUCAUGAUUUUUUUACUAUUUGGGUGGGAUGUCUGUCUUGAUUAGAAAUUAUCUUAUUUACAACAAAUAUUUACGAAAUUUUCUAAUUUUUAU
rnacentral:lncRNA from 1 species